AGAAAGGCUAAUUUUGAAGAAAGUGUUGUGAAAACUUACUUAAAGUAUGUCUCUAUAUUUGUGGGUAUAUGUUAUUGUAAUUAUGUUUUUUUAUAACUAAAAGUUAUAGUUAAGCUCCUUUGUUUUAUUCACAUGGUAGUUGAUGAUCUUCAUUAUAUUAAUUCUUCCAUUUAUAAAUCGUGACAAUUUAUAUAUUAUUAUGGUUCCUUGUAGCUGUAGGACUAUGCUAAGGGCUCAAGAAAGGCUCUCCAGACUAACAGCUGAGGUAUGACGCCACAUUCACCGAUGAUGGGGUGAAGCCCCUCACUGAGUUACUUGUCUGGGCUUUAAAUCACAAGACAGAAACCUCAGCACACAACACUUUUUACAAGUUCUACAGGAUUGUUCAAAAACUGUGUAUUAGAAGAAUUUGAAAGAUGCUUUGGGCUCAAUGAGUAUCUAGGUCCCAUACCAGGCUCCUCAUUCGUUCAGCUGCAAUAUAUUCCUAUUGUGCGAUUCGCUCGUGAGGGCAGAGGAAUUGAUGGAGCUUCUUUUGAGGAUCUUGUUUAUGAUGUCUUUCCAUGUCUUCUUGUAC